AAGGACUGCAGAGCACCAGACAAGCAAAUCUCCUGGUUGACAUGCAGCAAUUGUGGGGCAUGACUUUCGCAAAUCCUCAGGGGUGCGGUGAUCUAUGGAAAUUCAUCUGUGAAGUUUGUCUUUCUUAACUUUGCUGGGUGUUGGGUCUCGAAGGAGCCUCAGCCUGUCUGGUAUGCACCAAAGUCUCUAAAACAAUACACAGAGGGGCAUCCCUGGCGGAUUUGAAGCUUGCCUCCAGCAGAGAGAUGUGCCUCUAACAGGCUCACAUCCUCCUCCAGGGGCCCAGUGCCCUCAGGUCCCUCCAGCUCCACAAGCUUCACCUCCAGUAGGCGGACCAGAGUGGUCAUGACUGCCAGCCUGAGCCCGGCGGCCUCCACUGCGCACAUGCCAGCACAUGCCAGGAUCGGUCAGUCAUGUGCUGAGCAUGGGCUUGAGGAUGUCAUGCCCUGCUUUUAUGAGGACUGUAGUCUCCAUCUUUGGCGUGGCCGCUGCUAAGCAGGCUUGCAGCAACCUCAAGAGCUUCAGAUGACAAGCAAUCAAAGGCAUGAAGAGCAUGCAGCUAACCUGCACUGAAUGGCUGACAUACCAUUGGACAUAGAAGGCGCAGGACCCUGACUUCCAGGCUGCUCAGCUGCCUCUAGCUCCUGCAGAAGCUGCGGUGGCUCCAUGACAAGCACCUCCAGAGUCUCCCAUGCAGCUGGAGGCAGCAGCCUCUGCAGCCUGUCACCAGCAUUCCCUUUCUGGCCCU
rnacentral:lncRNA from 1 species